UACAGAGGUGGCAAGCGUUGUUCGGAAUUACUGGGCGUAAAGGGCGCGUAGGCGGUCUUCUAAGUCUUGUGUGAAAUCCCUCGGCUCAACUGAGGAACUGCACGGGAUACUGGAUGACUUGAGUUCGGGAGAGGGAAGCGGAAUUCCAGGUGUAGCGGUGAAAUGCGUAGAUAUCUGGAGGAACACCGGUGGCGAAGGCGGCAUCCUGGACCAACACUGACGCUGAGUGAGCGAAAGCCAGGGGAGCAAACGGG
rnacentral:rRNA from 1 species